AGGGUUUGAUCCUGGCUCAGAACGUACGCUGGCGGCACGCCUAAUACAUGCAAGUCGAACGAAGUAGCAAUACUUAGUGGCGAACGGGUGAGUAUAAUGUGGGUAUCUGCCUUUUGGUGAGGAAUAACAUGGGGAAACUUAUGCUAAUACCUCAUAAGCCUUUACAGGGAAAGUUUUAACGCCAAAAGAUGAGCUCGCACUUGAUUAGCUAGUUGGUAGGGUAAUGGCUUACCAAGGCUACGAUCAAUAGUUGAUCUGAGAGGAUGAUCAGCCACAUUGGGACUGAGACACGGCCCAAACUCCUACGGGAGGCAGCAGUAGGGAAUCUUGCACAAUGGGGGAAACCCUGAUGCAGCGAUGCCGCGUGAGUGAAGAAGGCCUUUGGGUUGUAAAGCUCUUUCGUCGGGGAAGAAAAUGACUGUACCCGAAUAAGAAGGUCCGGCUAACUUCGUGCCAGCAGCCGCGGUAAUACGAAGGGACCUAGCGUAGUUCGGAAUUACUGGGCUUAAAGAGCUCGUAGGUGGUUAGAAAAGUUGGUGGUGAAAUCCCAAGGCUUAACCUUGGAACUGCCAUCAAAACUUUUUGACUAGAGUAUGAUAGAGGAAAGUGGAAUUUCUAGUGUAGAGGUGAAAUUCGUAGAUAUUAGAAAGAACACCGAUUGCGAAGGCAGCUUUCUGGAUCAUUACUGACACUGAGGAGCGAAAGCAUGGGUAGCGAAGAGGAUUAGAUACCCUCGUAGUCCAUGCCGUACGAUGUGUGCUAGACGUUGGAAAUUUAUUUUUCAGUGUCGCAGCAAAAGCGUUAAGCACACCGCCUGGGGAGUACGACCGCAAGGUUAAAACUCAAAUGAAUUGACGGGGACCCGCACAAGUAGUGGAGCAUGUGGUUUAAUUCGAAGAUACGCGCAGAACCUUACCAACACUUGACAUGUUUGUCGCGACUUUAAGAGAUUAGAGUCUUCGGUUCGGCCGGACCAAACACAGGUGCUGCAUGGCUGUCGUCAGCUCG
rnacentral:rRNA from 1 species